rnacentral:rRNA from 1 species
UACGUAGGGUGCAAGCGUUGUCCGGAAUUAUUGGGCGUAAAGAGCUCGUAGGCGGUUUGUUGCGUCGGCUGUGAAAUCCCGAGGCUCAACCUCGGGUCUGCAGUCGAUACGAGCAAACUAGAGUGUUGCAGGGGAGACUGGAAUUCCUGGUGUAGCGGUGAAAUGCGCAGAUAUCAGGAGGAACACCGAUGGCGAAGGCAGAUCUCUGGGCCGUAACUGACGCUGAGGAGCGAAAGCAUGGGGAGCGAACAGG